rnacentral:rRNA from 1 species
ACGUCAAAGCCGAAAGCUAUUAACUUACGACAUUUCUUCGCUGCUGAAAGUGCUUUACAACCCUAAGGCCUUCUUCACACACGCGGCAUCGCUGGGUCAGGCUUGCGCCCAUUGCCCAAUAUUCCCU